GAAAUGCGAUAAGUAAUGUGAAUUGCAGAAUUCAGUGAAUCAUCGAAUCUUUGAACGCACCUUGCGCUCCCUGGUAUUCCGGGGAGCACGCCUGUUCGAGCGUCAUGAAGCUCUCAAACAAUUUGUUUUCUUAACUGCGAAUAAUUUGUUUGGACUUGGACUCUGCUGUGUAACAAACAGCUGGUCCGAAAUUUAUUAGCGGAUCCUAGCGAGGCUUGGUUCUACUCGACGUGAUAAUUAUCUAUCGUCGAGGACAUCUUCGGAUGGCCAACCAAACGAAGGAUUGCUUCUAAUCGUCUUCAUCGACAACUUAUCUAUCAUCUGACCUCGAAUCAGGCGGGACUACCCGCUGAACUUAA
rnacentral:misc_RNA from 1 species